UUUUUCACAAGCUUGAGUUAAUAUAGAGAACUGCUGUUCAGUGAACUCAGCUCAGUCAAUAUUCAGAGGGAAAGGAAGAACCUGAGAGCUGGAAGCUGCAGACUUCACCCAUACCAUCCACAGCCCACCUUAUCCAGGACCACAGGUGAUUUUGCUCAACUUGAGUUCAUCUGUCUUUGGAAUUUCCUUCUUGAAACAGACUCUGGUCUUAGCCCAUUGCACCUUCCAGCAUGUGAUGACCCAUCUUCACUUGUCACCUUGACAGACUUUAGAGUCCCCAAGGAGACAAAGCUCUGGGCAUGCCCACAGAGAGGCUUAAUUAACUGAUGAGGGAAGACCCACCCUGAGCGCAGCGCGCACCGUGCUCUGGGAUAGUGUCUUAGGUCGAACAGAAUGGAAACCGGAAGACUCUGCAUGAUCCCCUGGGUUUCUUUGCUUCCUGACCCACAGCAAAGGGAGCAAGUUCUUGCCCCUCUCCACGUUCCGCCCCUCCAUGAUUGAGUGUGUGUCUUGAGCUGUGAGUCAGAAUAAAUCUUUCCUUCAA
rnacentral:lncRNA from 1 species